AAAAAAAGCAACCAGCAUGCUUGAGGUUAUAGCUUGGUUGGUAGAAUGCUCUUAUCCUGAGGCUUUGUGUUUGAUCCCCAGGACCUCAUAAAACAGGGCGCGGUGGCAUGCUAGUAACCCCAACAUUCAGGAGGCAGUGAUAGAAGGAUCAAGAAUUCAAGGUUGCCAGGCAGUGAUGGAACCCACCCUUAAUCCCAGCACUCAGGAGGCAGAGAAAGGCAGAUCUCUGAGUUCAAGGACACCCUGAUCUACAGAAUUCCAGGACAUCUAGGGCUAAAGAGACAAACCUAAGAAGGAAAACAAAACAAAACAAAACAAAAAAAAAAAAAUCAAGGUCACCCCACUACUACAAAAUGAGUUUGAGGCCUGUCAGGGGUCAUUUGAAACCUUGUUUCAAUUCUCCCAGUCUCAGUGAGCUACUGAAUACACCCGUAUGUGUAUAAUCCUGGGGAGGCAGUUGGGGAGUCUGAGGCCAUUCAGGGCUGUACUAACAUCUGUGUUAACAAAGCAGCAUUCGAACCUCUAAAUUUAACCUAAUAGCCAGGUUACAGUAAACGCAGGCCAGUGGCUGGAGAAACAGCUUGGGGGAAGUGCUUGUUCUGUACCUGUGGGACCUAAGUUUGAUCCCUAGUACCCAAGUAAAAGUCAAAGUGACACACACAUACCUGUAAGUCUGCUUUCUGUAUAGAAUAUACUCAGGCGCCUCCAGUUUACUUUAGAAUUGAGUAGUAGCUGUGUAACCGAGCUGAUGGAUCAGGAAAUCAGGGAGGGUGCUUCAGCCCCAGGAGGAUAGGGGAUUUGGGGUGGGAACAAUGGUAGAAAAACACUGGGAGAGACCAAAACUCUCUGGAAUAUCAGCCUAUUGGGGAAAAGAAGGGAGCAGGAUUUUUUUUUUUUUUUUUAAAUAUAGAUCAGGGACUCUAAAAAUAUUGUUUUGUGUCAGACCAUAGGGCCAGCCAGGCAUCUUCGUCUGUCUUCCUGUCUGCUUUAUGUCAGUUACUCUGUCUCCUGUGCUGUGAAGUGAGCGUCAUUACUCACACCCUGAAUCCCAGUGCUGGGCAGGCAAGGUAGGAUGCCUGGGACGGACUAGCUAGUCCACUGAGCAGAAUCAGAGGUCCAGGUUCAGUGAGUCUCUGUCUUGAAAAAUAAGGUGAAGGCAGUUAAAGAACACAACAAUAACCUCCGGCCUCUUGCUGCUUUUUCAAAGGAUUUGGGCUUGGUUCUCAGCACCCAAAUGACUGCUGACAACUCCACUUCCAGGAGAGUCCAAUUCCCCCUUGUGGCUCUGGGGAGUACUGCAUGUUAUAAAAGCUGAAACCCUACUCUUUGUCUGUCCUAACAUACAAGAUCUUUGGAACAACCAAUCCCCUUAGGAACUCUGGAGGAAUGAAGGUUUUCACCAGAGUUUGACAAGAUGCAUGGGGAAAAUAUCUUUCCUGAAGGAACAAAUACAAAUGUUGCCUCUGUGCUAAUUAGAAAACCUGAACACUUGCAACAUUGCACUUGGGAGAAGGAGGCAGAGAGGAGGGUUCAGCCACCUCACUCACACAAUGGAAACAAAGUAAACAAGGUGUGGAGUGGAACACAAGAAGCUAGACACACAGCUCACCCAAAUCCAAGGACAGUCUGGUCUACAUAGUGAGUUCCAGGUCAGCCCCAGCUACAAGCAGCAAGAUCCAAACAAGACAAAGCCUGGUAUGGUGGUGCACACUUUAAUCCCAGCACUCCCGAGGCAGAUCUCUAAGUUUGAGGCCAGUCUACACACAGGUUCCAGGACAGCCAGGGCUGCAGAGUCCCAUCAGACCCUCCCCACAGCCCCAUUAACACUGGGCCAGCACUUCCAGUCUACAGUUUAUUGGGUUUAUAACUGGACAAAGUCACACGUGUA
rnacentral:sRNA from 1 species